AGGUAGGAGGAGGGAUGAAGAUAGAAAUAGGAAGGAUAAAGAUAGGUAGGAGGAGGGAUGAAGAUAGAAAUAGGAAGGAUAAAGAUAGGUAGGAGGAGGGAUGAAGAUAGAAAUAGGAAGGAUAAAGAUAGGUAGGAGGAGGGAUGAAGAUAGAAAUAGGAAGGAUAAAGAUAGGUAGGAGGAGGGAUGAAGAUAGAAAUAGGAAGGAUAAAGAUAGGUAGGAGGAGGGAUGAAGAUAGAAAUAGGAAGGAUAAAGAUAGGUAGGAGGAGGGAUGAAGAUAGAAAUAGGAAGGAUAAAGAUAGGUAGGAGGAGGGAUGAAGAUAGAAAUAGGAAGGAUAAAGAUAGGUAGGAGGAGGGAUGAAGAUAGAAAUAGGAAGGAUAAAGAUAGGUAGGAGGAGGGAUGAAGAUAGAAAUAGGAAGGAUAAAGAUAGGUAGGAGGAGGGAUGAAGAUAGAAAUAGGAAGGAUAAAGAUAGGUAGGAGGAGGGAUGAAGAUAGAAAUAGGAAGGAUAAAGAUAGGUAGGAGGAGGGAUGAAGAUAGAAAUAGGAAGGAUAAAGAUAGGUAGGAGGAGGGAUGAAGAUAGACACAGGGAAGAGGAGGAGAUAGAGACAGGUAGGAGGAGGGAUGAAGAUAGACACAGGGAAGAGGAGGAGAUAGAGACAGGUAGGAGGAGGGAUGAAGAUAGAGAGGAGGGGAUAGAGAUAGAGACAGGUAGGAGGAGGGAUGAAGAUAGACACAGGGAAGAGGAGGAGAUAGAGACAGGUAGGAGGAGGGAUGAAGAUAGAGAGGAGGGGAUAGAGAUAGAGACAGGUAGGAGGAGGGAUGAAGAUAGACACAGGGAAGAGGAGGAGAUAGAGACAGGUAGGAGGAGGGAUGAAGAUAGAGAGGAGGGGAUAGAGAUAGAGACAGGUAGGAGGAGGGAUGAAGAGAGGAGGAGAUAGAGACAGGUAGGAGGAGGGAUGAAGAUAGAGAGGAGGGGAUAGAGAUAGAGACAGGUAGGAGGAGGGAUGAAGAUAGAGAGGAGGGGAUAGAGAUAGAGACAGGUAGGAGGAGGGAUGAAGAUAGAGAGGAGGGGAUAGAGAUAGAGAUAGAGACAGGUAGGAGGAGGGAUGAAGAUAGACACAGGGAAGAGGAGGAGAUAGAGACAGGUAGGAGGAGGGAUGAAGAUAGACACAGGGAAGAGGAGGAGAUAGAGACAGGUAGGAGGAGGGAUGAAGAUAGACACAGGGAAGAGGAGGAGAUAGAGACAGGUAGGAGGAGGGAUGAAGAUAGAGAGGAGGGGAUAGAGAUAGAGACAGGUAGGACGAGUGAUGAAGAGAGGAGGAGACAGAGACAGGUAGGAGGAGA